GGUAUCAUAGCUCAGUCGGUAGAGCAAAGGACUGAAAAUCCUUGUGUCGCUGGUUCGAUCCCAGCUGAUACCACCA
rnacentral:tRNA from 1 species